CAGCAGCCGCGGUAAUACGGGGGGAGCAAGCGUUGUUCGGAUUUACUGGGCGUAAAGGGCGCGUAGGCGGCCACCGCAAGUCAGUUGUGAAAUCUCUGGGCUUAAUCCAGAAAGGUCAACUGAUACUGCGGGGCUAGAGUGCAGAAGGGGCAACUGGAAUUCUCGGUGUAGCGGUGAAAUGCGUAGAUAUCGAGAGGAACACCUGCGGCGAAGGCGGGUUGCUGGGCUGACACUGACGCUGAGGCGCGAAAGCUAGGGGAGCGAACGGGAUUAGAUACCCCGGUAGUCCUAGCCUUAAACGAUGAAUGCUUGGUGUCUGGGGUUUUAUAGUCCCCGGGUGCCGUCGCUAACGCUUUAAGCAUUCCGCCUGGGGAGUACGGUCGCAAGACUGAAACUCAAAGGAAUUGACGG
rnacentral:rRNA from 1 species